rnacentral:rRNA from 1 species
UACGGAGGGUGCAAGCGUUAUCCGGAUUCACUGGGUUUAAAGGGUGCGUAGGAGGGCAGGUAAGUCAGUGGUGAAAUCUCCAAGCUUAACUUGGAAACUGCCGUUGAUACUAUUUGUCUUGAAUAUUGUGGAGGUGAGCGGAAUAUGUCAUGUAGCGGUGAAAUGCUUAGAUAUGACAUAGAACACCAAUUGCGAAGGCAGCUCACUACACAAUCAUUGACUCUGAGGCACGAAAGCGUGGGGAUCAAACAGG